rnacentral:tRNA from 1 species
GGAAAGGUGGCCGAGUGGUUAAUGGCAGCAGACUGUAAAUCUGCCCUCUUUUGAGUACGGUGGUUCGAAUCCACCCCUUUCCACCA